rnacentral:rRNA from 1 species
ACACACACUUCAGAGUUUUGAUCCUGGCUCAGGAUGAACGCUAGCGAUAGGCUUAACACAUGCAAGUCGAACGAAGGGAAGUGGGAGCUUGCUCCUAUGGAACUUAGUGGCGAACGGGUGAGUAACGCGUAAUCAACCUGCCCUUCAGAGGGGGACAACAGAUGGAAACGUCUGCUAAUACCGCAUACGUUCUUGUUAUCGCAUGAUGAUGAGAAGAAAGGUGGCCUCUUGAAAAAGCUACCACUGAAGGAGGGGAUUGCGUCUGAUUAGCUAGUUGGAGGGGUAACGGCCCACCAAGGCGAUGAUCAGUAGCCGGUCUGAGAGGAUGAACGGCCACAUUGGGACUGAGACACGGCCCAA